CCCUUCUCAGGAUGGCGUCUGGUGAGUUUCCAGUACUCUACCAGUUUUGACUAUGGGAGGGAGAGUCAAGCGGAGGCCUACCCAUUCCAUUCCUAGCUUGACCAGUGGCUAGCAAGUGGAGGGCCAUCUGCUAAAAGC